rnacentral:rRNA from 1 species
CCUACGGGGGGGCAGCAGUGGGGAAUAUUGGACAAUGGGGGCAACCCUGAUCCAGCCAUGCCGCGUGUGUGAAGAAGGCCCUCGGGUUGUAAAGCACUUUCAGUGAGGAAGAACGCCUGGUGGUUAAUACCCAUCAGGAAAGACAUCACUCACAGAAGAAGCACCGGCUAACUCCGUGCCAGCAGCCGCGGUAAUACGGAGGGUGCGAGCGUUAAUCGGAAUUACUGGGCGUAAAGCGCGCGUAGGUGGCUUGAUAAGCCGGUUGUGAAAGCCCCGGGCUCAACCUGGGAACGGCAUCCGGAACUGUCAAGCUAGAGUGCAGGAGAGGAAGGUAGAAUUCCCGGUGUAGCGGUGAAAUGCGUAGAGAUCGGGAGGAAUACCAGUGGCGAAGGCGGCCUUCUGGACUGACACUGACACUGAGGUGCGAAAGCGUGGGUAGCAAACAGGAUUAGAUACCCCUGUAGUC